rnacentral:rRNA from 1 species
UACAGAGGUCUCAAGCGUUGUUCGGAUUCAUUGGGCGUGAAGGGUGCGUAGGCGGCGCGGUAAGUCGGGUGUGAAAUCUUGGAGCUUAACUCCGAAACUGCAUUCGAUACUGCCGUGCUUGAGGACUGGAGAGGAGACUGGAAUUUACGGUGUAGCGGUGAAAUGCGUAGAUAUCGUAAGGAAGACCAGUGGCGAAGGCGGGUCUCUGGACAGUUCCUGACGCUGAAGCACGAAGGCCAGGGGAGCAAACGGG